CAGCAGCCACGGUAAUACGUAGGUGGCAAGCGUUGUCCGGAAUUAUUGGGCGUAAAGGGCUCGCAGGCGGUUUCUUAAGUCUGAUGUGAAAGCCCCCGGCUCAACCGGGGAGGGUCAUUGGAAACUGGGAAACUUGAGUGCAGGAGAGGGGAGUGGAAUUCCACGUGUAGCGGUGAAAUGCGUAGAGAUGUGGAGGAACGCCAGUGGCGAAGGCGACUCUCUGGUCUGUAACUGACGCUGAGGAGCGAAAGCGUGGGGAGCGAACAGGAUUAGAUACCCGCGUAGUCCCUGUCUCUUAUAC
rnacentral:rRNA from 1 species